rnacentral:ribozyme from 1 species
UGCCCAGCAACUCCUAUCCCUAUCUCCUCGCGGUACUGGCCGGGGUACGAGUAACCUUAGGGAAAAUCGGGUAACCAACCCCGGUGGGAACUCUGGUCGUAUGCUGACAGGGAAGG